UCAAAAACGAUGAGUAGAAGAGUACCUGGAUUGUCAGUGUCAGCGAGUCUCGGUUGGUGGGAAGAGACCUCUGAUUAUCUAGUGGAAAGUAGUCUACGAGUUGCCAUUGCGACUUCGGAAGUAAUGGCUGGGAUUGCGCCCAUUACAGCAAUCGCGUAUCGCCGAAUCAGGCCGUACGCGGCGAGACCGCUUUCGGUGACGUUGGCGGUAAAGUAAGGUGGUACAGCGUGAUCCACGCCCUUAAC
rnacentral:ncRNA from 1 species